rnacentral:rRNA from 1 species
GAUGAACGCUGGCGGCGUGCCUAAUACAUGCAAGUCGAGCGAACAGACGAGGAGCUUGCUCCUCUGACGUUAGCGGCGGACGGGUGAGUAACACGUGGAUAACCUACCUAUAAGACUGGGAUAACUUACGGAAACCGGAGCUAAUACCGGAUAACAUGUUGAACCGCAUGGUUCAACAGUGAAAGACGGUCUUGCUGUCACUUAUAGAUGGAUCCGCGCCGCAUUAGCUAGUCGGUAAGGUAACGGCUUACCAAGGCAACGAUGCGUAGCCGACCUGAGAGGGUGAUCGGCCACACUGGAACUGAGACACGGUCCAGACUCCUACGGGAGGCAGCAGUAGGGAAUCUUCCGCAAUGGGCGAAAGCCUGACGGAGCAACGCCGCGUGAGUGAAGAAGGUCUUCGGAUCGUAAAACUCUGUUAUUAGGGAAGAACAAAUGUGUAAGUAACUAUGCACGUCUUGACGGUACCUAAUCAGAAAGCCACGGCUAACUACGUG